GGGGAGUGACGUCAAGUACAUCAUGGCCCUUACCGGCCUCGGGCUACACACGUGCUACAAUGGUCGGUACAAAGGGUUGCCAAGCCGCGAGGUGGAGCUAAUCCCAUAAAACCGAUCGUAGUCCGGAUCGCAGUCUGCAACUCGACUGCGUGAAGUCGGAAUCGCUAGUAAUCGUGAAUCAGAAUGUCACGGUGAAUACGUUCCCGGGCCUU
rnacentral:rRNA from 1 species